rnacentral:lncRNA from 1 species
GGACGAUAAGGAGGACUGGUUGGCAGAGUCUGCCGAUGGAAACUCAGCUACACCUGCUUGUCGGUAGGAGAGAGAGAAUGUCUACAAGGAGCGACGCAGGAGAAGGAAUCCCAUCCACCACCAGGCCCAGAGGCACCAAGAGCAAGAGGAAGAGCAUCCUCACUUGAGCAGCUUGCAGAGGAGAACGUGGCCUCAGGGGAGCCCAGUAACUACGGAAACGGACGGGGAAGAGGAUGCAACGCUCAAAGGAGAUGCUGAGGACGUGGGAUUUUGUGGAUAGCCCUGAGUAACAGAGAGCACAAGAAACAGGCUUCAGGGGUUACAGAGAUGGAAGCAGGGCCACUUGAUUCAGGAGAAAAUAAGGAGGCUUGGAAAAUAGCCUUUCUAGUGCCAGGGGACUGGAGUUAACAUUCAAAGAUGAGGUAAUGAUACAAACAUAAAAUAUUGAAUAUAUUUUACUAUGUUGUGGUUAACAGCUGAAUGCACACAAAGAAUGAACACUAUUCCCCAAAUUGCAGGGGGGUGAUGGGGAAUCCAUUCUGCUAACCUGGAUUGAUGAUAAUUUGGGGGUGAUCCCAGAAUGCCAUUUAAGAUAAAGCCAUUCCUCUGAGAGGAAUAAAAGCCAAUAAAGAGAAUGAGGAGAUGAAAUCAAGGGUCAAAAUCCUGGGGUAAAAAAAUCACAUUUCUGAGAUGACUGCAGUGGUGACUUGAGAAGGAUCCAAAUUUGCUCGUGGUAUUCUUGGUUCAUCUUUAUGGAGUAUACAUCUGGGUUUGACGUAGUCUAUCAGGACUUUUCUCUUCUGUCUCUGUCUGUUAUUUCAUAUAAGGCUUCAAAACAUUGGCUUAAGAGAGAGGCUAUCUCACUAGGACAGCAGAAUGAAGACAAGCAGAUGUUACCCAAAAUGUUUAAACUAAUGUGAGAGAGACAGGAGAGAACAUCCCCAGAAUGAGAAGUUGAUUUUAUGAAGGACAGGAAGAUUCGCAUAAAACGUAAAACUUAAAUGUGAGCAUCCUUCUCAUCAAUACGAGAAAAUACUUGAGAGUGUACAGUUGAAUCUGUAGAGCAGGCUUCACCGAGUGGACGAAUAAGCACGUGCGUCAGAGGAGAGCACGUGGAAUCCCAACGUCAGUGGAGGAUCUCGUGUAGUUUAUC